rnacentral:rRNA from 1 species
UACGAGGGGGGCAAGCGUUGUUCGGAUUUAUUGGGCGUAAAGAGCUCGUAGGCGGCUUGUUGCGUCGACUGUGAAAACCCGCGGCUUAACCGCGGGCUUGCAGUUGAUACGGGCAGGCUAGAGUUCGGUAGGGGAGACUGGAAUUCCUGGUGUAGCGGUGAAAUGCGCAGAUAUCAGGAGGAACACCGGUGGCGAAGGCGGGUCUCUGGGCCGAUACUGACGCUGAGGAGCGAAAGCGUGGGGAGCGAACAGG